rnacentral:rRNA from 1 species
UACGGAGGGUGCGAGCGUUGUUCGGAAUUACUGGGCGUAAAGCGCGUGCAGGCGGCCGACUAAGUCAGGUGGGAAAGUCAAAGGCUCAACCUUUGAAAGCCGAUGGAUACUGCAGGGCUAGAGUCCGGAAGAGGCGAGUGGAAUUCCUGGUGUAGCGGUGAAAUGCGCAGAUAUCAGGAAGAACCCCCGUGGCGAAGGCGGCUCUCUGGGACGGUACUGACGCUGAGGCGCGAAAGCCAGGGGAGCAAACGGG